rnacentral:lncRNA from 1 species
UUUAGUUUGUAAUUUUAUGCAAUUUUUAUUUAAAAAUGGAUUAGAGCUGGUGUAGAGAGGAAGGCAGUUGAGUGUCAGAGAGGCACUCAUCUCUCAACUAACUAUACCAUAAACUACUUGAGGACAAAGAUUAGAUGAUAUUUUUGAAAACUUGAAAACACGGGGAACAAAGCAAGCAAUGCUAAAGAAGCUAUAAAAAGUAUGACCAAGAGCAAUGGAGGGAUGCAAGGCACCUCUGAAUCAGCAGGGAGUCCUUUCAAACCUCACCUGCCCAACUUUGCUUCUAGAAAUCUGUCCAGAGAAGUGAACCUCCAUGAGCAAUCCUUAGACUCCAGGCAUAAAAACCACCUAUGGUCCAAUAAAUGCAGCCCCCCACCCCCUACCAUAAGGAUUCCACAGGGAGGCCCUUGGCACUGCCUUUGCUACUAACCUGAUUAGGUGAUUCUGAUUCCAAAAGCUGAAGGACAAACUUCUGAGACAUACUACUCUAGGGAUAAGUACUGCAACUACAUGUUCUAGGUCCUAAAACUGAGCAGGAAGAGAAGAAGACUAUAGCCAGGUAAAUUCCCACAUCCUGGAAAUUAUGGCCUGGAAUACUGAGCUUUGGGCAUCUCCAUCUCUUUGUAACUACAAUGUCCCCAAUGCUCACCUUGAGACUUUUACAUUUUAAUAGGCAUUCAUCUAAUACAUACUACAUUGUAGUAAGUCUUCUAUACCAAUGUUUUUAAACCCAUAAAAAUGUACAAGAUCAGAUUGUUUUACUGUCCCUCUAGUUCUAAGAGAACUAAGGCAUAGAUAGAACUUGUGCGAGGUCAUAGGGUGACUAUGAGAACCAAAUUCAGGCAAUGUGGCUCCAGGCUCUGUACUCUUAACUACUACAAAACCACCACCCAUAACCUCUCAUUUUACAUUCACUUCAUUCUUCUUGCAGCUACUAAUGUCAAUAAAAUCAAAUGAAUACCUGUUACAUGUCGGAUACCAUGACACAUGCUAAGAAUGUAAUCUAGAACAAGAUUUCCUUCAUGAUUUCAGGAAGCCUACAUUAUAAUGAAGAAUCGAGAAAUGAAAACAAACCUACAACCAACCAUUGAUAAGUAUUACAAUACAGACAAGAACAGAAUAUCAUAGAAGUAUACAGGAAGGAAACCCAUUCUCAGACUUGGGGUUGAAAAGGCUCUGCAGAGGAAAUGUCAUCAAAGCUGAGGUCAGAAGGAGCUCCUGCAAGCAAGUUAGUUGAGGGACUCAAAGCACAACACCACGGGUGGUUAGAGAAAGGUGGCUACAGAGAAUAUUUCAAUAAAAGGAAGAGGAUAUGUACAACAUUAUGAGUCAAAGGGUUUGGCAUAUUAUUAGUUCUUUAUAAUUGUAAGGAGUGUAAAAGAAAGUGUAUGGUAACAGAUGAAUAAAGAAGGAAAAUUUUCAAAGAUCUUCAUUUUUGUUUGUUUCUUUCAGCUUCUAACCCUAAAGAACCCACUCAAACUCUCUAUUAUUCUCACUUCUCAGUAGUUGAGUUUGUUUUCUUGACUCAUGAAAUAGGUUAAAUAAAAUCCUAGCCACUCAGCUGAGC